rnacentral:lncRNA from 1 species
UCGUGUUCCGAGUUCCCACAUUUUACCAUAGCUGCAUUUAGACUGCUCACUGAGGCUAUAACAGAAUGAUCAUGCGAUUCAACUGAAGUUUUUCCAUCUGUGACCUUUUGAAGAUCAAGAUGAUGUAGCCCAUAUACAGAAGCAGCCUGGCUUCUCAGCGCUUCUCUCAGAUUCACCAGCUUCUGUUGAGCGCGCUCGUGCAUCGACGUGAAGUAAGGCUCCAGACGAUCCUUCACAUCUUCCACGCUCUGUGAAGCACGAGACUGAACCUCCUCAAGGUAUGUUGACAUUUUUCUAUAAAUCAAA